UACCAGCACCCCGAGUGGUCGGGACGAUUAUUGGGCCCAAAGCAUCCGUAGCCGGUCAUGCAAGUCUUCCGUUAAAUCCAGCCGCUCAACGGUUGGGCUGCGGAGGAUACUACGUGGCUAGGAGGCGGGAGAGGCAAGCGGUACUCAGUGGGUAGGGGUAAAAUCCUUUGAUCCAUUGAAGACCACCAGUGGCGAAGGCGGCUUGCCAGAACGCGCUCGACGGUGAGGGAUGAAAGCUGGGGAGCAAACCGG
rnacentral:rRNA from 1 species